GACGAACGCUGGCGGCGUGCUUAACACAUGCAAGUCGAACGGAAAGGCCUGCUUUCCCUUGUGGAUUGCGGGUACUCGAGUGGCGAACGGGUGAGUAACACGUGAGUGAUCUGCCCCCAACUUGGGUAUAAGCCUGGGAAACUGGGUCUAAUUCCCGAUAGGACUGCAGGGUGGUGCCUGUGGUGGAAAACGAUUUUCUAGUGGUUGGGGAUGAGCUCGCGGCCUAUCAGCUUGUUGGUGGGGUAAUGGCCUACCAAGGCGGCGACGGGUAGCCGGCCUGAGAGGGUGGACGGGCACAUUGGGACUGAGAUACGGCCCAGACUCCUACGGGAGGCAGCAGUGGGGAAUAGUGGACAAUGGGCGGAAGCCUGAUGCAGCGACGCCGCGUGGGGGAUGACGGCCUUCGGGUUGUAAACUCCUUUCGACCGCGAGGAAGCCACCUGGUUGGAAGGGUGGUGACGGUAGUGGUAGAAGAAGCACCGGCUAACUACGUG
rnacentral:rRNA from 1 species